rnacentral:rRNA from 1 species
UACGUAGGGUGCAAGCGUUGUCCGGAAUUAUUGGGCGUAAAGAGCUCGUAGGCGGCUUGUCGCGUCGACUGUGAAAACCUGGGGCUUAACUCCGGGCCUGCAGUCGAUACGGGCAAGCUAGAGUUCGGUAGGGGAGACUGGAAUUCCUGGUGUAGCGGUGAAAUGCGCAGAUAUCAGGAGGAACACCAGUGGCGAAGGCGGCGACCUGGGCCAAUAUUGACGCUGAGGUGCGAAAGCGUGGGGAGCAAACAGG